CACCCAAUCACACUCCAUUCACACUCCACACAAAUCAAAUGUCUCUCCGUCACCAAGUUGCUUCUUCUCUCCGUCGCACCAGCUUCUUCCGCCGCCGCUCGCGUCACAGGAUCUCUCUCUGUCAUCCCUCGCGUCACACGGGCUCCCUCCGCCGCCGCUCUCGUCGCGUCUGGAGCGAUUCGUGAAACUCAUCUCAACUCGGUGGUUAUUGUUGAAUGGCAAAGCUUGAAGCGAAGCUUGGAAUGCUAGUUGACUCCGUUGGUAACUUCUUCUCCGGCAAAGACCAGCUUCUCCACUAACCGAAUCAAAUCGAAUCAAACACUUUAUAUAUAGGGUUGCAGAGAUCUUCAAUCUUUUGAUCUAUUGGCACUCCACUAACCAGAUGACUGUAGUUGAGGCAUAUAUUGGAAGGAACAAAUUACAUCCACCAGAUGACUCAUCAAAGUUAAAUCCGGAAGUUUUAUCCUUGAUAAACGAGGGCAUUGCCCAGAAUACUACUGGAAAUGUUUUUGUGCCUAAGGAAGGGGGAGAGGCAGAGAUUUCAGGAUCUCCUACAGAGAAGGCAAUUCUUUCAUGGGCAGUAAAAUUGGGUAUGAAUUUCAGUCUUCUCAGAUCAAAUACGAUAGUUCUCCAUGUCUUCCCCUUUAAUUCCGAGAAAAAAAGAGGAGGGCUCUGGAGUACAUACACAUUGGAAAGGAGGGCUCUUGAUCACGAGGGAUUUGUUGCUGAGGGGCCUAAUAUGAAUGUGGCUUUUGUGACUAAAGAGAAGGAGCUUAUAAUGCCCCACUUCGAUAAAAUUCUUAGUGGCUGCACAGCUAAGAGGGUUUUGACGCUUGCUGAGAAGUUGUUGAGCAAGGGUAAGCUUCGUGGGAUAAGGAUGAAACAUGUGACUGUUGAGGAAGGAAAGAGUUCCGCUGAAAUGAUGCUUAUUGGCAGUGGCGUUCUUGUUUGCCCUGUAGUGCAGUGGGACGAGCAAGUUAUUGGAGAUGGCAGAUAUUGGUCUUUCUAUGGGCAUCCAAGGAACUGAAGUUGCAAAAGAAAGCUCAGAUAUUAUAAUCCUGGAUGAUAACUUUGCCUCAGUAGUAAAGGCAUAAAUAUAAUUCACCAUAAAGUUUUGCUUACCAUGGCUAAGAAACAUGGCAAUUUUGCUGAUGCACUGGGACAAUUAGAAUUUGACUUAACGGGAAAUUUAUUCCACUAAGACAGUAGGUGGAUUGGUCCAAUGCUAAGAACUUCUUUUGACAGGUAAAACACUCCCUUAUCCUCAAUAUAUAAUUAAGUUAAAAAUGAUACAUAAAUAAAAAAGUUUUAGAUCCGUUUGAUUUCUCUUUAAUUUUCUUUUUUA